CCAUCAAACUUCACUUCAAGUUAACUAAUUCCAUCCCUAUUCCAUUCAACAGCAUCUAUCCAUCCAUCCAUCAUGAGCAACUACAACCAAAAACAGGCUCCAGUGGCAUAUCCCUACCCAGCAGCACAGGCACAACCACAACCCCCUGCAUACUUAAUUCCCCCACCGCCUGCCGGAUAUCCCGUCAGAGAUGCAGCUCAAGCCUCCAAUUCCGCUCCGGCACCCGGCAAAACUACGUCCAAAGACGACGGCGGCAGCUGUGCGUGCUGCUGUUGCUGUUUCGGUUGACGACCCAAAACCGCAGAGACGACACCACCAUUUCUUCUUCCGCUCGUGCCAUUUCUUGUGCAGUAGCAUCUUUCUUUGUUUGUUUCUAGUUCAUGGCUUGGACUUCCUUUACGUUCAACUUAAUUGUGUGACUAGGUACUAAAAUUCGUAUGUUGAUGUGGGAUUUUUCAGUAGUAGCAUUACAUCUUCUCCUAGUCCUACUCCUGGAUUAAUCUCAUCUCAUGAGGAUUGAUCUUAUUGGUAUUGUUAUUGUAUGGGUUGGACGUGCACCAUUGUCAGAUUGAUGAGUAAGAAUCCCAUGAAACUAGUACUCGAUGGUCUUCUCUGUUAA